CUACGGGUGGCACCAGUGGGGAAUAUUGGACAAUGGGGGAAACCCUGAUCCAGCAAUGCCGCGUGUGUGAAGAAGGCCUGCGGGUUGUAAAGCACUUUCGGUUGGGAGGACUGCUUCUAGCACUAAUAUUGUUGGAAGUUGACGUUACCUUCAGAAGAAGCACCGGCUAACUCCGUGCCAGCAGCCGCGGUAUACGGAGGGUGCAAGCGUUAAUCGGAAUUACUGGGCGUAAAGCGCGCGUAGGCGGCUAGUUCAGUCGGGUGUGAAAGCCCCGGGCUUAACCUGGGAACUGCAUCCGAUACUGUAUAGCUUAAGUACAGGAUAGGAGAGUGGAAUUCCACAUGUAGCGGUGAAAUGCGUAGAUAUGUGGAGGAACACCAAUGGCGAAGGCAGCUCUCUGGCCUGAUACUGACGCUGAGGUGCGAAAGCGUGGGGAGCAAACAGGAUUAGAUACCCCUGUAGUC
rnacentral:rRNA from 1 species